rnacentral:rRNA from 1 species
AGAGUUCGAUCCUGGCUCAGGAUGAACGCUGGUAGCAUACUUAACAGAUUCAAGUCAGACGGGAAGUGGUAUUUCCAGUGGAGGACCGGUGAGUAACGCAUAAGAACCUACCCUUGGAAAGGGAACAACAGGUGGAAACGGCUGCUAAUACCCCAUAGGCUAAGGAAUAAAAGGAGGAAUCCGCCCGUGGAGGGGCUCGCAUCUGAUUAGCUAGUUGGUGAGGCAAUAGCUUACCAAGGCGAUGAUCAGUAGCUGGUCCGAGAGGAUGAUCAGCCACACUGGGACUGAGACGCGGCCCAGCCUCCUACGAGAGGUACCAAUUGGUGAAAGCCUGAUGAAGUAAUACCGCCUGGAGGUAGAAGGCCUACGGGUUAUGAACUUCUUUUCCCGGAGAAGAAACAAUGACGGUAUCUGAGGAAUAAGCAUCGGCUAACUCUGUGCCAGCAGCCAUGGUAAUACAGAGGAUACAAGCGUUAUCUGGAAUGAUUGGGCAUAAAGCAUCUGUAAGUGGAUUUUUAAGUCCGCCGUCAAAUCUUAGGGCUCAACCUUAGACAGACGGUGGAAACUACCAAGCUGGAGUAUGGUAGGGGUAGAUGGAAUUUUCGGUGGAGCGGUGAAAUGUGUAAAGAUUGAAAAGAACACCAACGGCGAAAGCACUCUACUAGGCCAAUACUGACACUGAAAGAUGAAAGAUAGAGGAGCGAAUGGGAUUAGAUACCCAGUAGUCCUAGCCAUAAACGAUGGAUACUAGGCACUGUGUGUAUCGACCCGCGUAGUGCUGUAGCUAACGCGUUAAGGUUCCCGCAUGGGGAGUACUUUCACAAGAAUGAAACUCAAAGGAAUUGAUGGGGGGCCUGCACAAGCGGUGGAGCAUGUGGUUUAAUUCAAUGCAAAGUGAAGAACCUUACCAAUUCUUGACAUGCCACGAAUCCUCUUGAAAGAGAGGAGUGCCUUCGGGAACGCGGACACGGGUGGUGCAUAGCUGUUGUCAGCUUCUUCCAUAAGGUGUUAGGUUAAAUCUUGUAAUGAGCGUAACCCUCUUGUUUAGUUGUCACCGUUGAGUUUGGAACCCUGAGCAGACUUCUAGUGAUAAGCUGGAGGAAGGUGAGGAUGAUGUCAGGUCAUCAUGCCCUUAAUGCCUUGGGUAACACAAGUGUUACAAUGGCCGAGACAAAGGGUCGCGAUCCCGCGAGGGUGAGCUAACUCCAAAAACCGAUCUUCAAUUCAAAUUGUAGGUUGCAACUCGCCUACAUGAAGCCAAAAUCGGUAGUAAUCGCCGGUCAGCCAUAUGGGAGUGAAUUCAUUCCCGAGCCUUGUACACACCGCCCAUCACACUAUGGGAGUUGGCCAUACUGGAAGGUGCAGGUGGAUCACCUCCUUUUCAGGGAGAGCUGCUUGUUGGGUAUUUUGGUUUGACACUGCUACACACCCAAAAAGA